rnacentral:rRNA from 1 species
UACACUCCUACGGGAGGCAGCAGUGGGGAAUAUUGGACAAUGGGCGCAAGCCUGAUCCAGCCAUGCCGCGUGAGUGAUGAAGGCCCUAGGGUUGUAAAGCUCUUUCACCGGUGAAGAUAAUGACGGUAACCGGAGAAGAAGCCCCGGCUAACUUCGUGCCAGCAGCCGCGGUAAUACGAAGGGGGCUAGCGUUGUUCGGAUUUACUGGGCGUAAAGCGCACGUAGGCGGACUAUUAAGUCAGGGGUGAAAUCCCGGGGCUCAACCCCGGAACUGCCUUUGAUACUGGUAGUCUUGAGUUCGAGAGAGGUGAGUGGAAUUCCGAGUGUAGAGGUGAAAUUCGUAGAUAUUCGGAGGAACACCAGUGGCGAAGGCGGCUCACUGGCUCGAUACUGACGCUGAGGUGCGAAAGCGUGGGGAGCAAACAGGAUUAGAAACCCUUGUAGUCC